AGAUUGAACGCUGGCGGCAUGCCUUACGCAUGCAAGUCGAACGGCAGCACGGGAGCAAUCCUGGUGGCGAGUGGCGAACGGGUGAGUAAUACAUCGGAACGUGCCCAAUCGUGGGGGAUAACGCAGCGAAAGCUGUGCUAAUACCGCAUAAGAUCUACGGAUGAAAGCAGGGGAUCGCAAGACCUUGCGCGAAUGGAGCGGCCGAUGGCAGAUUAGGUAGUUGGUGAGGUAAAGGCUCACCAAGCCUUCGAUCUGUAGCUGGUCUGAGAGGACGACCAGCCACACUGGGACUGAGACACGGCCCAGACUCCUACGGGAGGCAGCAGUGGGGAAUUUUGGACAAUGGGCGAAAGCCUGAUCCAGCCAUGCCGCGUGCAGGAUGAAGGCCUUCGGUUGUAAACUGCUUUUGUACGGAACGAAAGUCUACUUUCUAAUUAAAGAGGAUCAUGACGUACGUAAGAAUAAGCACCGACUAACUACG
rnacentral:rRNA from 1 species